rnacentral:rRNA from 1 species
AUCUAUGGCCACGCCACCCUGAACAAGCCCGAUUCCGUCUGACCUCGGAAGCUAAGCAGGGUCGGGCCUGGUUAGUACUUGGAAGGGAGACCACCUAGGAAGACCAGGUUUCGUAAGCG